CUCAGCCUCCCAAGUAGCUGGGACUACAGGCGCCCGCCACUACGCCCGGCUAAUUUUUUGUAUUUUUAGUAGAGACGGGGUUUCACCGUUUUAGCCAGGAUGGUCUCGAUCUCCUGACCUCGUGAUCCGCCCGCCUCGGCCUCCCAAAGUGCUGGGAUUACAGGCGUGAGCCACCGCGCCCGGCCUGUUGUCGUAUUUUAAGAAAUUGCCACAGCCACUGCAACCUUCAGCAAACAACCACCUUGAUCAGUUUCCAGCCAUCAACAUUGAGGAAAGGAAUGGAAAAUCAGAAGACGUGUUUAGAUCACACAAACCAGAGGUGAAAGCUGAAUCUGAGAGGCUUCUGUUUCCAGCAAUAAGGUUGCUGAAGAAGAAUCUUACUCUAGGGCUCACUAGCAACUUUGGACUGGUGAUGUAUAAGACAUUAU
rnacentral:lncRNA from 1 species